rfam:Pelodiscus sinensis unplaced genomic scaffold scaffold72, whole genome shotgun sequence.
AUGGUCUGGGAAAUACUUCUGUGGGGCUGUGUCUAGCUGAACCCUGUGCUGGACAGGCUGACUCUGACCUGGAUUAGGUUUUCUUCAAGUUUUGUCCUUUGCAGUAACAGGUGUGAACAUUCUAGCAGUGUGGUGAUCAUGCAUAAUAUUUCAUAAAAAG